rnacentral:rRNA from 1 species
GACAGAGGAUGCAAGCGUUAAUCGGAAUUACUGGGCGUAAAGCGUGCGUAGGCGGUUUCUUAAGUCCGUUGUGAAAGCCCUGGGCUCAACCUGGGAACUGCGAUGGAUACUGAGGAGCUGGAGUACGGUAGAGGAAGGUGGAAUUCCCGGUGUAGCGGUGGAAUGCGUAGAGAUCCGGAGGAAGACCGGUGGCGAAGGCGGCCUGCUGGGCCCUCUCUGACGCUGAGGCGCGAAAGCCAGGGGAGCGAACGGG